AUUGCACCAAUUUGUAAGUCGCUCUGGAUAAGAGCGUCUGCUAAAUGACUUAAA
rfam:Salmo salar isolate Sally breed double haploid chromosome ssa04, whole genome shotgun sequence.